rnacentral:lncRNA from 1 species
CGAAAUCCCGGCCAAACGGCCGGAAUACGCGGCCGAAGCCCAGCGGCGCCGCCGCGCCCCCUCUCAGUUUUUGCCUCCGACGAGGCCCUUCCCGGCCUCCGUUCGAUGCAAUUUUUAUAUCACCGUGAUCACCAUUCUUUUCUCUACAGGUUGACUGAAGCCAAAUCACCAAAACACGAACCUCGCCGGAGGGUCGCCGUACCCGAGAGCGCCGCCGCCGGUAAGCUCCGCUUUUCCGUAAUUUUUUGGCCCCCCGAGGGCCCUAGGGUUGUUUUCUGACAAGGACCAAUGCGAG